UGGGGAAUAUUGCACAAUGGGGGAAACCCUGAUGCAGCCAUGCCGCGUGUGUGAAGAAGGCCUUCGGGUUGUAAAGCACUUUCAGCGAGGAGGACAGGAUGGUAGCUAAUAACUGCCAACUGUGACGUUACUCGCCGAAGAAGCACCUGCUAACUCCGUGCCAGCAGCCGCGGUAAUACGGAGGGUGCAAGCGUUAAUCGGAAUUACUGGGCGUAAAGCGCACGCAGGCGGUUGGAUAAGUUAGAUGUGGAAGCCCCGGGCUCAACCUGGGAAUUGCAUUUAAAACUGUACAGCUAGAGUAUUGUAGAGGGGGGUAGAAUUCCAGGUGUAGCGGUGAAAUGCGUAGAGAUCGGGAGGAAUAACGGUGGCGAAGGCGGCCCCCUGGACAAAGACUGACGCUCAGGUGCGAAAGAGUGGGGAGCAGACA
rnacentral:rRNA from 1 species